GAGGUACUCCCUCCGCCCGGAAAUACUUGUCGUAGAAAUGGAUACAAAUGGAUGUAUCUAGAACUAAAAUACAUCUAGAUACAUCCAUUCCUCUGACAAGUAUUUCCGGAUGGAGGAGGUAAUAU
rfam:Triticum aestivum genome assembly, contig: Triticum_aestivum_CS42_TGACv1_scaffold_194018_3AL